rnacentral:tRNA from 1 species
GUAUGGUUAGUCAAGUGGUCGACGACAGUAGACUGUUAAUCUACCGUGGCGAAAGCCCCAUCACAGGUUCGAAUCCUGUACCAUGCG